UGACCCGGAACAUCCAUCUGUCUUUGGCUCGGAUAGUGACAUUGCAGCUCUUCUGCUGUUGCUGCAUCUGCUGCCCCCCACAUCUAGAGGCCACAAAAAACAGCAAAGAUUAGCUCUGCACAGGCAGCCAAUCAUCUCCUAAGAUUUGUCAAGGAAGGAGUCAGCCUUACUACUUUCCUGAAGCAAGUGGACACCAGACAACCAUUCCUUCUCUGAAUUGGUGAGCAAAAGAAGAACAUUCAGAGGUUAUUCAUUGUUGUGGAUCAGAGAGCUAUCCCCUGUGAUGCUCCAACAUCAGUGGCUGCUUUUGAUGGGCUACUCAAAGCACACUUUGUCUUCAGCCUGUCAUAUGACGAGGCUCUUUGCAGUUUUUACACAUUUAGUUUUUACACAAAACUAUUGAUUCCAAAGAUUUGAAUAUGGUCCUUUAAAAUCAAGAGCAGCCAAUGGCCUGGAAGGUGGAGAUCCACUUUCUAACACCUUCAGUCUGGAUUCAUGCUGAAAUAUUUUAACUACAAACUGGGUACAAAAUUAUGGCACUAAAUACCAGGUUGGACUGUAUUUAUGUACUGCAAUGUUCAAUGAUCUACCUGUGUUUAAUAAAAUUUGCCAUAUUAUAAUUCAUUAACAGCAGGCAUUCAUAAUAGGCUGUACUGCCAACACUCUGUACUUUGAUGAACACUUUCAUGCAUGCUGUAUUGAAGAAAACAAUUGUGAGCAUGUUAUUACUUGCAUUGACAAGCUCACCUAUGUCAGACCUUUUGAUAGGCAAUAUUCUAAUAAAAGGGAGAACAUGUAUAUUGUUCCACAUUGUUACAUGUUUUGAAAAAUAUUUUCUAAUUGUGGUGCACUUUUGAAAUAAAUAUUUGCUGAGAAAAACUAACAUCGCUUCUUUAUUUAUUUAUUUUUCUCAAGGGAUAUUUAUAUGUUCAGAAAAGUAAGAUUUUCAGCAUUUGGUAUUACAGAAUAACUCUUAAGUAGUUAGGAAAACAUUCCAUGAGAGUGUUAAUAUUCCAAUUCUAACACCUAGUUGGUGUAAUUAAGUGUUACAUU